rnacentral:tRNA from 1 species
GGGUGAUUAGCUCAGCUGGGAGAGCAUCUGCCUUACAAGCAGAGGGUCGGCGGUUCGAUCCCGUCAUCACCCU